rnacentral:lncRNA from 1 species
UUCAGAUGCCUUUGAAGACAGAGUUCAUUGAUUCCACUAGAUUUAUUGUCAUGCGACCCUAACAUUGACCGUUGUCGUAUGCCCUAGUCCACUUCUCCAAUGGAAUACUGUCAAUCCACCAUACUGCAUCUGCGUUUGACAAUCUUAUUUCUUCGUGGUAGUGUUUGAAAGAAGGUUCUGAUAAUGCGUAACCUGCAUUGACAACCUUC